UCCGCUCCACAAGCCUGACCAGCUCCGCAGUGGCGGUGUCCUUGAGGACUUGGCCACGUCCGAGCCCUGGGGGUGGGGGCGGCUGCACUGCGGGCAACGGGACCUGUGCGGAUACGGCGGAGGGGACCUGCUGGAACGUGCGCUGUUCUGGGAAUGCUUGCUUCCCUCCUGUGCCUCUUGCGCAGUCCCUGCCCCUGGGAACCCGGUGCUGAGUGGAGGGGACAAGUCCUGGCCAGGUGAGACUUACCAUCGGGGACUUACCAUAAGGGGACUUCCCUUAACUAAAGUGACUUUGCAGAGAAAAGGGCUUAUUGAACAUUAAGUCCCUUCAAAAUCUCCCUGGUCUUUGAAAAAUACACUGCCCUCCCCCAGCGUUACCUGCUAACAGAUGAAAAGUUGCUGGAUUGUUACUUAUUUCCCCAAGUGAUAAACACACUUCCAAAGGAGAGACUUUUAAUAAAAAUCCACCUAUUGCGGGGUAUAUUUCAAUAUCUCCUAAAAUUAUUUUGAAAAUGCACACAAACUAUUCUAGGCAUUACCUUAGAAUUCUUUUUAAGUAGUUGGUGCGUUUAAAAAAACCCAAAAACAAAAAGCUAACUUUAUUUUUGUUUUUGUUUUCUGAUUUAAUAAUUCUUUUUUAAAUUCUUGUAAAGAUUUUAUUUAUUUAUUUGACAGAGACAGUGAGAGAAAGCACAUGCACAAGAUAGGGGAGUAGCGGCCGUAGCCCCUAAAAUAAAAAACUGAAUUAAAAAAAUUAUUAGGGGCACCUGGGUGGCUCAGUUAGUUCAGCAGUUGCCUUUGGCUCAGGUCAUGAUCCCAGGGUCCUGCAGUCAAGGCCCACAUCAGGCUCCUUGCUUAACAGUGGGGAGCCUGCUUCUCCCUCUUGCACUGUCUGCCACUCCCCCUGCUUGUGCUCUCUUUCUCUGUCAAAUAAAUAAAUAAAUAAAAUCUUCUAAAUUUUUUUUUUUAAUAGUUCAGGGGCACUGGGUGGCUCAGUAGGUUAAAGCCUCUGCCUUCAGCUCAGGUCGUGAUCCCAGAGUCCUGGUAUCAAGCCCCGCAUCGGGCUCUCUGCUUGUCAGGGACCCUGCUUCCCUUCCUCUCUCUCUGCCUGCCUCUCUGCCUACUUGUGAUCUCUGUCUGUCAAAUAAAUAAAUAAAAUCUUAAAAUAGUUUAAAAAUUUUUUUAUUUUAAUUCCAGCAUAAUUAGUUUCAGGUGUACAAGGACUUGACUUAUCAAAUGUGAAGAUAUUUUUUAAGUCUGGUGUUAGUCACUUAGAGCACCUGACUGAUGGAAGUCUUCUCUCAGAUCUUUUCAGAGAUGGCAAAAGAAAGACAAGUUUUCCUGUAUCUUCUAUUUCCAUAGGAUUUACACAUUUAGAACAAUUCAGGGCAAAGAGAGAAAUCCUUCUCCAGCUCUGGAAAGAUUACUGUAAAGAUCUCUGUUAUCCGUUAUUAAAUAGGGUCUGGUUAUUCCCGAGGCUCAGAUGCUUGUCCCUAAAUCACGUUAAGUAACAUCUUUACCUGCAGCUGUGACCCCAGUGUUUUCCUGUGGUGCUGGCAGUAAAGGACUGCAUUGCGGGGUGUGGAGGGCACAGCCCUCACUGAGGACCAGAGACACUGGGGGUGUUGAGAGCACAAGGUAAGCCUUGUGCCCCACUCCCUAUUUAUUUGGUGUCUGUAAAUUUGUGUCCCCUCCCCCCUGCCCCAAGCCUCUCAUCUAGUUUGUUUCACUGGCCCCAGAGGCCUGAGCUGUAGCCUCAGCUUUGCCAUUUGCCACCAACUGUAUGCCUUCAGCAUCAUUUAAUGGAAUCUUUUCUCCCUACUGAACAAAUCUGUCCAUGGUUUUCCACCGCUCUUUGAGCUCCAUGCAGACAUCUCGCCCCCGGCACCCGCCCACCGUCACAUCUUCUGCCCUCUUCCUUUGACCUUCAAUUUCCUUUUUUUUU